UACAGAGGUCUCAAGCGUUGUUCGGAUUCAUUGGGCGUAAAGGGUGCGUAGGUGGCGCGCUAAGUCAGGUGUGAAAUCUCGGGGCUUAACCCCGGGCCUGCAGUGGGUACGGGCAGACUAGAGUGCGGUAGGGGAGACUGGAAUUCCUGGUGUAGCGGUGAAAUGCGCAGAUAUCAGGAGGAACACCGGUGGCGAAGGCGGGUCUCUGGGCCGUAACUGACGCUGAGGAGCGAAAGCGUGGGGAGCGAACAGG
rnacentral:rRNA from 1 species